CCCUUAGACGUUCUGGGCCGCACGCGCGCUACACUGACGAAGGCAACGAGCUUUCCUUUACCGAAAAAUACGGGUAAUCUUUUGAAACUUCGUCGUGCUGGGGAUAGAUCCUUGCAAUUUUUGAUCUUAAACGAUUAAUGUCUAGUAAGCGCAAGUCAUCAACUUGCGUUGAUUACGUCCCUGCCCUUUGUACACACCACCCAUCGCUACUACCAAUUGAAUGGUUUAGUGAGGCCUUCGGAUCCGCGACUCGUUUUGUGGAGAAGUUGGACAAACUCAGUCAUUUAGCGGAAGUAAAAGUCGUAACA
rnacentral:rRNA from 1 species